AGGGGGCAUCGCCUAGUGAAGAAACAAGGUCCCAAGAAGCCAGACACAGAAGCUAUCCUAGUGGCCUUGAAGAGCCUCUACAGGGAUCCAAGAGCCGAGUCAAACAAUGACGCGCUGGAAAUGUUGGUGGAUUUCCUUG